AGGUGGGUUAGAUCCCAUAUCCUUCCGCGUAAUGGAAAUGAUAUGUAAUCUAGCUUACAG
rnacentral:pre_miRNA from 14 species